rnacentral:rRNA from 1 species
UACAGAGGUGGCAAGCGUUGUUCGGAAUUACUGGGCGUAAAGGGCGCGUAGGCGGCCAUCUAAGUCAGACGUGAAAUCCCCCGGCUUAACCUGGGAACUGCGUCUGAUACUGGACGGCUUGAGUAUGGGAGAGGGAUGUAGAAUUCCAGGUGUAGCGGUGAAAUGCGUAGAUAUCUGGAGGAAUACCGGUGGCGAAGGCGGCAUCCUGGGCUAACACUGACGCUCAUGCACGAAAGCGUGGGGAGCAAACAGG